GGCCGCAUAGCACAGUGGAUUAGUGCAUUUGAUUUUGAAUUAGAAGGUCGUGGGUUCAACUCCCACUGUGGUCA
rfam:Ipomoea nil DNA, scaffold: scaffold2759, cultivar: Tokyo-kokei standard.